rnacentral:rRNA from 1 species
AUUGAACGCUGGCGGCAGGCCUAACACAUGCAAGUCGAACGCGUGGCGGACGGGUGAGUAAUGUCUGGGAAACUGCCCGCUGGAGGGGGAUAACUACUGGAAACGGUAGCUCAUACCGCAUACCAUCGGAUGUGCCCAGAUUGGAGUAGCGAGUAGGUUGGGUAACGGCUCCCCUCGGCGACGAUCCCUAGCUGGUCUGAGAGGAUGACCAGCCACAUUGGAACUGAGAAACGGUCCAGACUCCUACGGGAGGCAGCAGUGGGGAAUAUUGCACAAUGGGCGCAAGCCUGAUGCAGCCAUGCCGCGUGUAUGAAGAAGGCCUUCGGGUUGUAAAGUACUUUCAGCGAGGAGGCGUUACUCGCAGAAGAAGCACCGGCUAACUACGUGCCAGCAGCCGCGGUAAUUC